GACGAACGCUGGCGGCGUGCUUAACACAUGCAAGUCGAACGGAAAGGCCCUGCUUUUGUGGGGUGCUCGAGCGGCGAACGGGUGAGUAACACGUGAGUAACCUGCCCUUGACUUUGGGAUAACUUCAGGAAACUGGGGCUAAUACCGGAUAGGAGCUCCUGCUGCAUGGUGGGGGUUGGAAAGUUUCGGCGGUUGGGGAUGGACUCGCGGCUUAUCAGCUUGUUGGUGGGGUAGUGGCUUACCAAGGCUUUGACGGGUAGCCGGCCUGAGAGGGUGACCGGCCACAUUGGGACUGAGAUACGGCCCAGACUCCUACGGGAGGCAGCAGUGGGGAAUAUUGCACAAUGGGCGGAAGCCUGAGGCAGCAACGCCGCGUGCGGGAUGACGGCCUUCGGGUUGUAAACCGCUUUCGCCUGUGACGAAGCGUGAGUGACGGUAAUGGGUAAAGAAGCACCGGCUAACUACGUG
rnacentral:rRNA from 1 species